rnacentral:rRNA from 1 species
UACGGAAGGCAGCAGUGGGGAAUAUUGCACAAUGGGCGCAAGCCUGAUGCAGCCAUGCCGCGUGUAUGAAGAAGGCCUUCGGGUUGUAAAGUACUUUCAGUCGUGAGGAAGGUGUUAAGGUUAAUAACCUUAGCAAUUGACGUUAGCGACAGAAGAAGCACCGGCUAACUCCGUGCCAGCAGCCGCGGUAAUACGGAGGGUGCGAGCGUUAAUCGGAAUUACUGGGCUAAAGGGCACGCAGGCGGUUAAUUAAGUUGGAUGUGAAAUCCCCGGGCUUAACCUGGGAAUGGCAUUCAAGACUGGUUAGCUAGAGUCUUGUAGAGGGGGUAGAAUUCCAUGUGUAGCGGUGAAAUGCGUAGAGAUGUGGAGGAAUACCGGUGGCGAAGGCGGCCCCUGGACAAAGGACUGACGCUCAUGUGCGAAAGCGUGGGGAGCAAACAGGAUUAGAU